ensembl:lincRNA
CUGGGGGUGUUUUAUGUUGCCAGCUGAGUUGUGACUCUCAGCAACCGUCUCCUAGCAACCGGCAUGCGGGGUACCUUGCUCAGCCAGGAUGGGCGGCUGGGACAGAGGCUGCCAGGGAGUCUAAAGGUCCUCUCAACCACUGCCUGGCUCUGCUGGUUAAACCACCUAGACCAAGGCUGCUCCUGGCAUGAACUUGUCAACUUCUGCAAGGGCAUCCCCCAUCCACAGCCACCAAGUGGUGACAUUCACAGUGCGACCUUGACCUUUGGAUGUGGGCGGCAUGAGGCAGCACUUCUCCCGGUGAUACCGUCAUCCUGUAGGCCCCAGUCCUGCUGCUGGGGCCUGUCCUGUGCAUUGUAGAGCAGUCACAGCAGCGACCCCCAUCAUGACGACCAGAAAUAUCUCCAGGCAUCCCCACGUGCUCCAGGAGGCAGGUGCCAAGUCACCCGGGGUUGAGGAUCCAUCUUUCAGAGGAAGAUGCAUCUUUUAUUGUCAUGUGCCGUUUUUGAGGCGGGCUUGCCGGUCAUGGGAGCGUUGAGUGGGGAAGACAGAAAUGUUGCCUUGGGAGUGACUAGGGGGAUCCCGGGAUGUCAUGGGGUCACUUUUCCAGGAGGCGGUGUCUCCAGCAAGCUGAAGGGCUAGAGGAACCGCAUGGGCACAGGGGAAUGGGGGCCCCAUCAGGCUGUGCAGUGGGGGUGGGAGGGAGGAAGCAUGGCUCCUUCCUUUCUCCUGCAUGGGGUUUGCCUCCCUGGGAUUGUACCUGAACAGUGAGCUACACACCACCGUCAUCUUCAUCUCCGCGGACAUGGCAUUCUGGGACCCUCCCCAAGCCUGGGCUCCCCCGCACCUGCCUCGGUGGUGGAAGUGUGCCCAGGGGGCCUGGGCACCAGCUGAGCCAAUCCCUGCCCCAGAGGACAAAGCCUUCUACUCUGAGUGUCCACACUUGAGGCUGCUCCUGUGGUGAGAAGGCCUUGGGGGCUGGACAACCUCCUGCGCAGGGCCCCAACCCCACCCCACAUCCCCAGCAGCACUGCUCCUGCCACUCAGGACCCUCACAGUGCUGACUGCCUCUAAUCCUCACUCAUUCAUUGGUCUGCAGCAACAUUGUCCUGUAGAAAUUUCUGAAAAUGGCUUAUCUGCUCGCUGGAGAACCACCACAGCUCCCUGUGGUUACUGAGCACUCUGAAUGCAGCCAGUGUGACCAAGGACCUGAAAACUUAAUUGUAUUUCAUGUUAAUUAAUUUCAAUUUAAGUAGCCACAGGUGACUAAGGACGCUGUAUCAGAUCUCGCAUCUAGUGAGGCCUUUGCCUUGGGGACAGAGCUGAGAGGAACUUGCAGUGCCUUCCUUCCCUCCCUCUUCCCCCUCUCCUUCCACCCUCCCUUCCCUUCUCCUGUCUCCCCACCCCGUAUUUCCUGAGCACCAGUCACGUGCCGCGUGCUCCUACCACCCGCUCUGGCCAUUCCUGGUGUCCUCUGGCACUGUGGAGUGGCUGAGGGGAAGACAGUGAAUAAACAACCGUGUGCACAGAACCUGGGCCGGUGCGACAGGGGGCAGGGAAGGUCACAGUGGCCACUGAGGACGUGGGCCUGGAGCUGGGAGCGGGAGGGUGAGGAGCCACACUGCCUUCCUACUGUGAAGGCCCAGAGUUUGGCUGUGUGGGGAGGAAGUCAUGAGGAAGAGGCCAGCACAGACCCGAGGGACAGGUGAGGAGCCUGGAUUGUGCUUGCUAGGUGACAGCGUACCGUUCGUGGUAGGCAGUAACGUGUGUGUUAGCCUGUUUGAUUUCCGUCUAAAUACUGUGUUGGAGAGGAUGCGGUGGGUGGAAGAGUGCCCCCCAAAUCAUGUCCUUUGCAGACAUAGUUCGUUAAGGGUCUUGAGAUGAACAUCCUGGGGUCAGGGAGGUCCCUAAAUCCCAGCAGGAGGUGGAGGACAGCUCUACAGCUGGGACCCAAGGGUCACUGCUGCACCAGGAGCUGGGAAAGGUAUGACGGGGC